rnacentral:tRNA from 2 species
GUCUUCGUAGCCCAACGGUAGAGGCGCGACGUCGAGGGCGUCGUCAGUGCGCGUUCGAAUCGCGCCGGGGACAC